AGUGAACGCUGGCGGUAUGCCUAACACAUGCAAGUCGAACGGCAGCACAGUAAGAGCUUGCUCUUACGGUUGGCGAGGGGCGGACGGGUGAGGAAUACAUCGGAAUCUACUUCUUCGGGGGGGACAACGGAGGAACACUGACGCUACUACCGCAUACGUCCUACGGGAUAAAGCAGUGGUGCUUCGGACCUUUCCCGACUGAAUGAGCCGAUGUCGGAUUAGCUAGUUGGCAGGGUAAAGGCACACCAAGGCAACGAUACGUAGCGGACCUGAGAGGAUGAUCAGCCACACUGGAACUGAGACACGGUCCAGACUCCUACGGGAGGCAGCAGUGGGGAAUCUUGGACAAUGGGCGAAAGCCUGAUGCAGCAAUACCGCGUGAGUGAAGAAGGCCUUCGGGUUGUAAAGCCCUGUUGUUGGGGAAGAAAAACAGUGGAUUAAUCCCCGGAUGUUCUGACGGUACCUAAUGAGUAAGCAACGGCUAACUUCGUG
rnacentral:rRNA from 1 species